rnacentral:rRNA from 1 species
UGGGGAAUAUUGCACAAUGGGCGCAAGCCUGAUGCAGCCAUGCCGCGUGUAUGAAGAAGGCCUUCGGGUCGUAAAGUACUUUCAGCGAGGAGGAAGGUGUUGUGGUUAAUAACCACAGCAAUUGACGUUACUCGCAGAAGAAGCACCGGCUAACUCCGUGCCAGCAGCCGCGGUAAUACGGAGGGUGCAAGCGUUAAUCGGAAUUACUGGGCGUAAAGCGCACGCAGGCGGUUUGUUAAGUCAGAUGUGAAAUCCCCCGGGCUCAACCUGGGAACUGCAUUUGAAACUGGCAAGCUUGAGUCUCGUAGAGGGGGGUAGAAUUCCAGGUGUAGCGGUGAAAUGCGUUAGAGAUCUGGAGGAAUACCGGUGGCGAAGGCGGCCCCCCUGGACGAAGACUGACGCUCAGGUGCGAAAGCGUGGGAGCAAACA